CCCUACGGGGNGCANCAGGCGCGAAAACUUUACACUGCGCGAAAGCGCGAUAAGGGGACCUCGAGUGCGUGCGCAAUGCGUACGCUUUUCAGAUGCCUAAAAAGCAUGUGGAAUAAGGGCCGGGCAAGACCGGUGCCAGCCGCCGCGGUAA
rnacentral:rRNA from 1 species